GGGGGACCUCCUCCUCCACGCGUCGAACAUCUGGAGGGCCUCUGAGGGGCGGUGGCUCUCCACGAGGAACCCCGCAGCGGUCCAGAGCUCCUCGCUGCUCCAGUCCCCGUCGCCAUCGUCUUCUUCCUCCCGAAGGUGGAGGGGGGUGCGGCGGCGCCGCCGGAGAGGCUGGCCAGGAGGUCCUUCAGGCGGCGGGUGUGAUGGAUGUUCUCCACGAUGAGGGUCCUGUGAAGGAGACUCCGGCGGUGCUCCUCGUCGGCGGGCGGCGCGGGAGGGACGGGGGCCGUGAGGUGACGGCGGGGGAGGGGAGGGGCGGAGGGAAGUGAGAGAAAGUCGGGUGGUCUCGCCGGACCGGUCGACGGGUUGGGUUGGAGGCGGCGUCGGGGGCGACUGAAGGGCGCCUUCUGGGGCAGGGAACUCGCCGCCGCGCCGGCGGCCGAGGCGGCGGCGCUCAUAGCUUCCGCCCCGCUUCUCUCUCUCACACUCUCUCUCUCUCUCUCUAGAAGCC
rnacentral:lncRNA from 1 species